rnacentral:lncRNA from 1 species
GGUUUAUCGAAGUGUAAACCAAGAGAAAAUUCUUCUUGACCAAUCCAAUUCAAGUAUUUACAGAUAUGCAAAUGAUAUAAGAAUUAUUAUACAUUUAACUGUUUUUUUAUUGUAAAUGGUCAAUUAGAUUUUAGAUGUGUCAUGGCGGUAAAACUCAGUACAUAUCUAAGGAAAUAUGGUACUGUAUGACUGUCCUUUAGACGCCCCUCCCACCAAUAGAUCAAAGCCGAAUUUGUAGGCAACAGUAGGUCACUGUAUGGCAAAACUCGUACCAAAUAGUAAUCUUUAAAGGUCCCGUCAUGACAAAAUGUAAAAUGAAUUCAAACAAGAAAAUCAACUCCAUGAUUUAAAAGUUGUACAUACUAAAAUAGAAAUAACAAAACGAAAAAGAGAUAUGAUAAGCACAAAAAUGGUUUCAGAUCGUCGAGCUUAAAUUAAGGGACAUGAAAUGCCAAAUUUGUUCGCGAGGUUAUCUUUGGUGUUUCUCUUGUACCAAACCCUGAUCGUCCUUAAAGGCUUAAUUAAAGUGAAAGAUUCUAACUGGAUUGCAAAAUUAUCGAAAACAAACAUCCCCCGAUAUUUUCUUUUUCAAAAGAAUUUCAUUAUAACGUAGAAUUACAGUAGUUCUUAAACAGUUUGAUAAAAGGCAGGAAAUUAACCUAGCAUUUGCUUUCAAAUGACUGUGCUCUAUUUUAAAAAUCAAGAUUGAAUACACAUAAAUUCGGCUCACACUUCACCAUAGCUAAACAAAUGUUCCCAAACGUGAAUCCCAAACGGAGCAAUAUCGAUAUUAUAAUUACUAUGUUCAUGAUGUUAGCGUCUUUGGCAGAAAGUAGAACAUGUCUGGGGUUUAUAUUAGCUAUCCAUUGCGACUGCUUACCUUUGCAUGUCGCCUGAAGCCAUUUUGUUAGUUCCUUUUGUUAUAGAUAUCACUCUGAUGUUUUUACAUAUGUGCUUUUUUUAAGAAUCAGUUGAAGCACUGAUUUUUUAUUUUUUAUCUUUUAUGUGUGUG